AAAAAUAGUUAUUUUUAUGUCUCUGUUGUGGGUGGCACAACCAGAUUGGAAAGUGUGUGUGUUGACCUGGUGCAGGGAGGCAGAGGGGCGCAGGGCCAAGAGGGUGUGUAGAUGCGGAAUCUGGGCCAGUGCAGGGCAAGGUCAUCACUCAGGGCUGCCGGCCAGGGACCUGGUGCCCGGUGGCCCUGGUGUGAGGAGGCCAUCCCGCCUGCUCUGGGGCUGGCCUUGCACACGCUUCCCCAGACUUCGCUCCUCCAGCUGCUCUGCUACCGAUGACCAGGCCCUCCAUGUCCCUUCAAAGUGA
rnacentral:lncRNA from 1 species